rnacentral:rRNA from 1 species
GACGAACGCUGGCGGCGUGCCUAAUACAUGCAAGUAGAACGCACAGUUUAUACCGUAGCUUGCUACACCAUAGACUGUGAGUUGCGAACGGGUGAGUAACGCGUAGGUAACCUGCCUGGUAGCGGGGGAUAACUAUUGGAAACGAUAGCUAAUACCGCAUAAUAUUAAUUAUUGCAUGAUAAUUAAUUGAAAGGUGCAAUUGCACCACUACCAGAUGGACCUGCGUUGUAUUAGCUAGUAGGUGAGGUAACGGCUCACCUAGGCGACGAUACAUAGCCGACCUGAGAGGGUGAUCGGCCACACUGGGACUGAGACACGGCCCAGACUCCUACGGGAGGCAGCAGUAGGGAAUCUUCGGCAAUGGACGAAAGUCUGACCGAGCAACGCCGCGUGAGUGAAGAAGGUCUUCGGAUCGUAAAGCUCUGUUGUAAGAGAAGAACGGGUGUGAGAGUGGAAAGUUCACACUGUGACGGUAGCUUACCAGAAAGGGACGGCUAACUACGUG